GACGAACGCUGGCGGCGUGCUUAACACACGCAAGUCGAACGAAGAGCGAUGGAAGCUUGCUUCUAUCAAUCUUAGUGGCGAACGGGUGAGUAACGCGUAAUCAACCUGCCCUUCAGAGGGGGACAACAGUUGGAAACGACUGCUAAUACCGCAUACGAUCUGACCUCGGCAUCGAGGAUAGAUGAAAGGUGGCCUCUAUUUAUAAGCUAUCACUGAAGGAGGGGAUUGCGUCUGAUUAGCUAGUUGGAGGGGUAACGGCCCACCAAGGCGAUGAUCAGUAGCCGGUCUGAGAGGAUGAACGGCCACAUUGGGACUGAGACACGGCCCAGGCUCCUACGGGAGGCAGCAGUGGGGAAUCUUCCGCGAUGGACGAAAGUCUGACGGAGCAACGCCGCGUGAGUGAUGACGGCCUUCGGGUUGUAAAGCUCUGUUAAUCGGGACGAAAGGCCUUCUUGCGAAUAGUUAGAAGGA
rnacentral:rRNA from 1 species